UAUAGACCUAUGUCACUUCCUCUGUUCCUCCUCGACGCUUUGCUGCCGUUGGGGGUGCUCUACAAUAGCCGCUCGGGGAAGAUUGCGGUCAGGUGACGAACCCACCGUGAGCCGUCCCCUCUCUCCGGCGAAGAAAAUGCUUCUUCUUUUUCACCAAUUUCAUUUCUUAUGUUUCUUUAAACUUGAACUGAGGGAGAGAAGAGAACGAGGGAGAGAAGCAGAGAGCAAGUAAGAAAAUUUCUGGGGGGAGAGAGAUGUAGAGGGGCGGCUGGGGAGAAAUAGAGGGAAAAGGCUUCGAUGAAAGCCGCAGAGGUGAUGAGACCCACCGCAAGUCACUGCCCUGGCUGAACCCAUCAAUCGCUGCUCACAAAUUGCAGGCCAGGUGUGAACACUAAGGAGAUGUAAAAUCAGAGUCCCUUGCUGUGAUGAGAUUUUCAAUUGUAGGCAUUGCCAUAAUGAAGCUAAGAUUUUCAGUUGGUUGUCUUUGUUGUUUUGCAAGUCUUAUUUCUGGAGUUGCAAACCUGGCAUUAUCAAGAAAAAGAAAAGGGACUCUUAGAGACAUGAAUUCUACCAUCAUUUGACAAAAGAUAUUACUGUCUUAUGAUGUGGACAGACAAUACAUUUGGACUGUCUGAAUGAGAUGAUGCAGCACCUCUAGUAAGUGUUUUGCUAAGGAGAUCCAGUUGUUCACAUGUGUUUGCUUCUUUGU